GCUGAGGGAAGCUGAGGGUUGGGAUGUGGAACUAGAGACAAGUGGGAGAGGCUGAGGGAAGCUGAGGGUUGGGAUGUGGAACUAGAGACAAGUGGGAGGGGCUGAGGGGAGCUGAGGGUUGGGAUGUGGAACUAGAGACAAGUGGGAGGGGCUGAGGGGAGCUGAGGGUUGGGAUGUGGAACUAGAGACAAGUGGGAGGGGCUGAGGGGAGCUGAGGGUUGGGAUGUGGAACUAGAGACAAGUGGGAGGGGAGCUGAGGGUUGGGAUGUGGAACUAGAGACAAGUGGGAGGGGUGCUGAGGGUUGGGAUGUGGAACUAGAGACAAGUGGGAGUGGAGCUGAGGGUUGGGAUGUGGAACUAGAGACAAGUGGGAGUGGAGCUGAGGGUUGGGAUGUGGAACUAGAGACAAGUGGGAGUGGAGUUGCUCUGUGGGAGAUAGAAUGAUGGCCAAAGAUAAAAGUCAAUAUAAAACAUUAAAAAAGUAUGUUUGAAUGACACUAAGUGGCAGUGUUUU
ensembl:lncRNA